rnacentral:rRNA from 1 species
GACGAACGCUGGCGGCGUGCUUAACACAUGCAAGUCGAACGGAAAGGCCCCUUUGGGGGUACUCGAGUGGCGAACGGGUGAGUAACACGUGAGUAACCUGCCCUUGACUUCGGGAUAACUUCAGGAAACUGGGGCUAAUACCGGAUAGGAAUCCUUGCUGCAUGGUGGGGGUUGGAAAGCUUCGGCGGUUUUGGAUGGACUGGCGGCUUAUCAGCUUGUUGGUGGGGUAGUGGCUUACCAAGGCUUUUACGGGUAGCCGGCCUGAGAGGGCGACCGGCCACAUUGGGACUGAGGUACGGCCCAGACUCCUACGGGAGGCAGCAGUGGGGAAGAUUGAACAAGGGGCGGAAGCCGGAUGCAGCAACGCCGCGUGCGGGAUGACGGCCUUCGGGUUGUAAACCGCUUUCAGCAGGGGCGAAGCUUGUGGUGACGGUACCUGCAGAAGAAGCACCGGCUAACUACGUG